CACGUAGGCACCAAGCGUUGUCCGGAUUUAUUGGACGUAAAGAGCUCGUAGGCGGUUCGGUAAGUCGGGUGUGAAAACUCUGGGCUCAACCCAGAGCCGCCACCCGAUACUGCUGUGACUCGAGUGCGGUAGGGGAGCGGGGAAUUCCUGGUGUAGCGGUGAAAUGCGCAGAUAUCAGGAGGAACACCAGUGGCGAAGGCGCCGCUCUGGGCCGUGACUGACGCUGAGGAGCGAAAGCGUGGGUAGCAAACAGG
rnacentral:rRNA from 1 species